rnacentral:rRNA from 1 species
GAUGAACGCUGGCGGCGUGCCUAAUACAUGCAAGUCGAGCGGUAAGGCUUUCACUCUGUAUUUAAUGAGUUGAAUAUAGUGUGAAAGUACACGAGCGGCGGACGGCUGAGUAACGCGUAGGAACGUACCCCAAAGUGAGGGAUAAGCACCGGAAACGGUGUCUAAUACCGCAUGUGAUCUUCGGAUUAAAGCUUUAUGCGCUUUGGGAGCGGCCUGCGUAAGAUUAGUUUGUUGGUGAGGUAAUGGCUCACCAAGACUACGAUCUUUAGCUGGUCUGAGAGGAUGAUCAGCCAGACUGGGACUGAGACACGGCCCAGACUCCUACGGGAGGCAGCAGUAGGGAAUUUUCCACAAUGGACGAAAGUCUGAUGGAGCAACGCCGCGUGCAGGAUGAAGGCCUUCGGGUUGUAAACUGCUUUAUCUGUGACGAUUAUGACGGUAGCAGAUGAAUAAGGAUCGGCUAACUCCGUGCCAGCAGCCGCGGAU